rnacentral:rRNA from 1 species
AGUGAACGCUGGCGGUAGGCCUAACACAUGCAAGUCGAACGGCAGCACAGUAAGAGCUUGCUCUUACGGGUGGCGAGUGGCGGACGGGUGAGGAAUACAUCGGAAUCUACUUUUUCGUGGGGGAUAACGUAGGGAAACUUACGCUAAUACCGCAUACGACCUACGGGUGAAAGCAGGAGAUCUUCGGACCUUGCCCGAUUCAAUGAGCCGAUGUCGGAUUAGCUAGUUGGCGGGGUAAAGGCCCACCAAGGCGACGAUCCGUAGCUGGUCUGAGAGGAUGAUCAGCCACACUGGAACUGAGACACGGUCCAGACUCCUACGGGAGGCAGCAGUGGGGAAUAUUGGACAAUGGGCGCAAGCCUGAUCCAGCCAUACCGCGUGGGUGAAGAAGGCCUUCGGGUUGUAAAGCCCUUUUGUUGGGGAAGAAAAGCAGCAGGUUAAUCCCCCGCUGUUCUGACGGUACCCAAAGAAUAAGCACCGGCUAACUUCGUG